CUACGGGACGCUCCAGUGGGGAAUCUUGCACAAUGGGGGAAACCCUGAUGCAGCGACGCCGCGUGAGCGAUGAAGCCCUUCGGGGUGUAAAGCUCUUUCGGCAGGAACGAUAAUGACGGUACCUGCGGAAGAAGCUGCGGCUAACUACGUGCCAGCAGCCGCGGUAAUACGUAAGCAGCGAGCGUUGUUCGGAGUUACUGGGCGUAAAGAGUGUGUAGGCGGUUCCCUAAGUUUGGUGUGAAAUCUCCCGGCUCAACUGGGAGGGUGCGCCGAAAACUGGGGGGCUUGAGCGCGGGAGAGGAAAGCGGAAUUCCUGGUGUAGCGGUGAAAUGCGUAGAUAUCAGGAGGAACACCGGCGGUGUAGACGGCUUUCUGGACCGUUGAUGACGCUGAGACACGAAAGCGUGGGGAGCAAACAGGAUUAGAUACCCUGGUAGUC
rnacentral:rRNA from 1 species